rnacentral:rRNA from 1 species
AUUGAACGCUGGCGGCAUGCUUUACACAUGCAAGUCGGACGGCAGCACAGAGGAGCUUGCUUCUUGGGUGGCGAGUGGCGAACGGGUGAGUAACGCAUCGGAACGUACCGGGUAAUGGGGGAUAACUGUCCGAAAGGACAGCUAAUACCGCAUACGCCCUGAGGGGGAAAGCGGGGGAUCUUAGGACCUCGCGUUAUUCGAGCGGCCGAUGUCUGAUUAGCUGGUUGGCGGGGUAAAGGCCCACCAAGGCGACGAUCAGUAGCGGGUCUGAGAGGAUGAUCCGCCACACUGGGACUGAGACACGGCCCAGACUCCUACGGGAGGCAGCAGUGGGGAAUUUUGGACAAUGGGCGCAAGCCUGAUCCAGCCAUGCCGCGUGUCUGAAGAAGGCCUUCGGGUUGUAAAGGACUUUUGUCAGGGAAGAAAAGGGGCAUGUUAAUACCGUGCUCUGAUGACU